CCCCGCAGGGCCGCGCCCCCGCAGCCAGCAUUCGCGUGCGUCUGUUAGGAUAGGGUCAUUCUGAGAAGGGGACACCUCGAGGCCACGGUGGGCUCUGGAGGUGCAGAGGGCUUCAUGCGAUGUGAUGUGCAUCUGCUGUGCUGGUGACUGGAAGAGUUGUAUCUGGCUCUGCUGGCUCUAUAAAGAGAGAAGUGGAUAUGGAGCAAUUCAUCUUGGGCACCAACUUAUGGGGCAGAUGGUAGCAUGCUCCCACAUCAGGCUAAUUCUCGGCUAUGCCUCAGCUACUCCUUCAAACACAGAAAAGAAAUACUGGUAAGAGGCGAAGCUUUCAGCUGGAACUCUUUACAGCUCCCUCCAAGGUGACUGAAUUUGUGAUAUAUUUUAUACAAAAGCUUACAUUUUUACUUCCUACUCAGCCAUGUUUAAAGGAUUUUAACAGGAACCUAUGACAGUCUCAAGAAAAAACCAGGAAUAAGAUAUUUGAGGGGAGUCCUUCUGGGAUCAGAACAAACACCAAACCCAGAACUCUGAAACUAUUUCUUCAAAGGAGUGAGAAUUUAAUUGAAUUAGUUUGUAGAGCAACUGAUGUCCCAAGGCAUUGUUGUAAACAGUAGAGCAAUCAACUGCCAAUCAGUGGAGUUUAAGAGCUGAGUUUAACAAUAAAAGGGUCAAUCCAUCAGGAAGAUAUAACAAUUAAAACAUAUAUAGGCCUAAUAACAGAGCACCAAAAUACAUAAAGCAAAAGCUGACAGAAAUGAAAGGAGAAAAAGAUAAUUCAACAAUAGUAGUUAGAGGUUUUAACAUCCAACUUUCAGUAAUGGAUAAAAGAACUGUGCAGAAGAUCAAGCAAAUAGAAGACUUGAACAACACUACAAACCUAGACCUACUAGACAUCUAUAGAACAUACCAUCAAAUGAUAGAGUAUACAUUCUUUUCAAGUGCACAUGGGAUAUUUUAUAGGAUAGACCCAAUGUUAGUCCAUAAAACAAACUUCAGAAAAUUUAAGAGGAGAUAAAAAUAAUACAAAGUAUGUUCUUUGACCACAUGGAAUAAAAUUGGAAAUAAGUAACAGGAAAUUUAGGAAACUCACAAAUACCCUCCUAAAUAACCAAUGGAUCAAAGAACAGAUGAGAAGAAAAAUCAGACAAUAUUUUGAGAUAAAUGAAAAUGAAGACAAAAUUUGCCAAAACUUAUGGGACACAGCUAAUGCAUGCUUGCUGGGAAAUUUAUAGCUACAACUGUCUGUGUUAAAGAAAGAAGAUCACACCAAAGAAAAAAAAAGAAAGGAAAAGAAAAAAAAGUGCUGUCUCCAGUGCUCCAUGGUAAUAAGCCCUUGCUGGUGAGGGACUGAUGUCUGUUCAGAUAAGACAAUAGAGAAAUUUCACCUAUAGAAAAACUAAUAGGCAAAAGAAAUGCAGAUGAAUUUGGAAAUGAAUGGGAGAAAAAGUUUUACAAAAUUCUCUAUUUUCUGUUUUUAACAAGCUUUUAGAGGACAUUGGAAAGGUUUAAUGGAGAUAUUAAAAGUGCGAUCACUGAAUCACAAAUCCUAAUGAAGGCAAUUAACAGGUAGAUAAAACCAGAAAAACAAAGAAGAAAAAAAGACUAAAAAUUUCUCCCAAAACUAAGAGGAAAAAGGAUUAAAAAAAAAAAAAAGAAAGAAAGAAAGAAAAGAAUGAGAGAGGUACCAAGGAUAAAACUGGAAAUAUAAUCUACAGAAAGUAGAAAUCUCAGAAGCUUGAAACAGAACAGUUGGAGUAGGAGCAAUAAUUAAAGAAAAGAAUGCUUUCUUAAGGACAUUGGAGUGUAAAACAGAAGAGAGAGACACAUAACUCACCAGUGUCAGGUAUGUACUCUGGCCAACCCAUGCAGUUCAAUCCUGUUGGGACACUCUGGGAGAAUGGAUGUAUUCUUCUAGCAAGACUCAAAGA